rnacentral:rRNA from 1 species
AGAACGAACGCUGGCGGCAUGCCUAAUACAUGCAAGUCGAACGAACACUUCGGUGUUAGUGGCGCACGGGUGCGUAACGCGUGGGAAUCUGCCCUUGGGUUCGGAAUAACAGUUGGAAACGACUGCUAAUACCGGAUGAUAUCGAAAGAUCAAAGAUUUAUCGCCCAGGGAUGAGCCCGCGUAGGAUUAGCUAGUUGGUGAGGUAAAGGCUCACCAAGGCGACGAUCCUUAGCUGGUCUGAGAGGAUGAUCAGCCACACUGGGACUGAGACACGGCCCAGACUCCUACGGGAGGCAGCAGUAGGGAAUAUUGGACAAGUGGGCGCAAGCCUGAUCCAGCAAUGCCGCGUGAGUGAUGAAGGCCUUA